UCUAGGUUUUCUCAGGGGUACCACCCAGAGAUGCAUUAGAUAAAUUGUACGCCCCACAAAUCCAAUCGGAAACCUAUUUUCCCGAGGAAGUAGAUAGAUGGAGAGGGGGGAUGCAGCGAAGUAGCAGCAGCUGUCGCAGCAAAGCUGAUUCAGGACAAAACCCUAACCCUAAACCUAAAUGCCAUUUUCAGCAGAGACGAGGUCGAAGCGAAGAGUGAGUUGCCCUGAGGUCAACUGGUUCAACGACCAAGCUCCAUUCAGCCAUGUGGUUUUCAAGAUGCAACUCCAAUCUCUUUCACCUGAAAACGACAUCGUUCCACGCAAAUCCCUAACCAUCACCACAGACCCGUUUUCUCUUCUCUCGGACCAACUCCUCCUCCACAUCCUCUCUAAGCUUCCAUACUCUCACCACACUACUACUUCUUUGGUCUGCAAACGAUGGAUGCAUCUCCAUGGCCGGUUGGUACAGUCCGUGAAACUUGUCGAUUGGGAUUUUCUCGAGUCCGGCCGGCUUAUUUGCCGAUUCCCCAAUCUCACUGAUAUCGACCUUGUUCGCGCUUGUGUUCGGUUGCCGAAUAAUUCUGCAAUUUGGUUAAGCCAUAAAUUUCUUUCCAUCCAACUCGAUUCACGUUUUCUGAGUGGCGGUUUUGUCUCCGGAGAUGAUUUGUUGCCGCCUGAUGUGAUCGAUGAGGGGCUCAGAAUUGUCGCCGAGGGUUGCCCUAAUUUGAGGAAACUUGUUCUGAUUGGUGCGAGCGAGAAAGGGUUGUCGAGCGUGGCUACGGAGUGCUUGACAUUACAGGAAUUGGAGCUUCAUUAUUGUACUGAUUUAUCGCUGAGGGGUAUUUCGGGUUGUCAGAACCUACAAAUCUUGAAAUUGAUUGGUUCUGUUCGUGAGUUAUAUAAUUCUGUAAUUUCGGAUAUUGGGUUAACAAUUUUGGCGCAGGGGUGUAGGAGAUUAGUCAAGCUUGAGUUGUGUGGGUGUGAAGGGAGCUAUGAUGGGAUCAAAGCAAUCGGGCAGUGUUGCCAAAUGCUAGAGGAAUUAACACUAUGUGAUCAUAGGAUGGAUGGUGGGUGGUUGUCAGCGUUGUCAUUUUGUGGGAAUUUGAAGACUUUGAAGCUUCAGUCAUGUAAGAGUAUUGAUGCGAGUCCAGGAUCAGAUCAACAUUUGGGUUCUUGUCCUACACUUGAGACGUUGCACUUGCAGCGGUGCCAAAUGCGGGAUAAACAGAGCACAAGAGCUUUGUUUUUAGUGUGUGAGGCUGUUAGGGAGAUUGUUUUACAGGAUUGUUGGGGAUUGGAGGAUGAAACAUUUGGCAUUGCGACUAUUUGUAGGAGGUUAAAAUCUCUCUCUUUGGAAGGAUGCUCUUUGCUGACUGUGGAAGGUUUAGAUUCAGUGGUUCAUUCUUGGAAGGAACUUCAAAGGCUUAGAGUAGUAUCAUGUAACAAUAUAAAGGAUAGCGAAGUAACUCCUGCACUUGCCACCUUGUUUUCUGUUCUGAAAGAGUUGAAAUGGCGACCAGAUUCCAGAUCUCUUCUGUCAUCAAGCCUGGGAGAGACCGGAAUGGGAAAGAAAGGUGGUAAAUUUUUCAAGAGGGCAUGAGGUUGAACUUGCAGCUUGAUGCCAAGAAUCUGAGCUCCUGUUUAACAACGAUGAUUCUCUUGGCUGCAAAAAGAUUAAGUUGAUCAUGCAACAUCAGUAGAAGUGCAUUUCUGACAAGGAAGAUAGUGUUACUGUUUUGUGUGAGAGAGUACAUUUUGCUGGGCUAGCAAGUCUUGCCCCAGCUACCAACAUAUGAUGCUGUGAAUUUUCAGAGAGAUUUGGAUCUUAUUUUCUAUAGCUGCUCACUCCUUUUAUAAUCUGAUUUUCACUUCUUGAAUUCUUGAUGGCUAUUUGUCCUUUUAGACCACAUGUUGGUGGCGGCAAAAGAGUGAGUUGCAGGUGACAUGAUUCCAUUCUCAUGGGACGCAUACCUGCUAACUAUUAAAACUUGGGGGAAUUUAGAUUAAACUUUUGGCGUUGUUGAAGAGUUUUGAGCUAAUUCAGUGUGAGUCGGGAUACAGGGAGUACCUGACUACCUUUGGUUGCAUUCUGAUUUGGUAUUUAGUUGUAAACUUGUGUUGAAAUUCGAUGGCCUGCACUUAGAGACUCUUUUAUCAGCAGCAGUUCCGUAUCGUCAUUAUUGCUUUCUGUAUUGGGUUUUUGUAGAGGUCCAAGGCUUAGCAGAGCAGAUUGAGCUGUACAACGUGGCUCCAAAUGACAGAGUGAGACAGGAGAAACCCAGCUGACUCCGUGGACGAUUCAGUGCUUAAAUUUACAAGCUACAGAGGUUUUUAUUUUGGUGCCUCUAUAUUAAAUUAUACAUGAGAAACAAGUAAUCAAUGAAAUUAGGGGCAGGGAGGGAGGAGGGGAAAGCUAGAUGGAGACAAGCUGCUGGAUAUUGAACGGAUAAACAUCAGAUUGAGGACCCAUGAAGGACCUUUGCGCCACAAUCCUGUUCAAUGCCUCUGUUGGGUGAAGGCUGUCCCAGAAGACGUACGAGUUUCUGUUAUUGCAUGGUGCCGCACCAGCAAUGCAGCUCCAUUGCACCCUCCCAUUCUCCACACCACAACACCCUUGUGAAGUAACUGAGAAGCCUGCAAGAUGUAUGGCGUUUCGGAAAGGUGAUGAGGUGAUGAAGCUUAGUCAUAAAGAUAGAAAGAUGGAGGAUGGAGGGUAGGUAUUAGUUACCAUAAGGAGAUGGGUUGAUGAGAAUGUCAGAAACCAUGCCAUAAGCAUCAGCAUAAGAAAGGGCAGAGGCAGGGAGGUGCAAGUUGAGAUCGAUGAUGAGAGAUCUGAGAGCAGAGUUGAAGAGCAUGACCAUCUGAUUCACCCUGUCAUUGCAGUUUUGGCCCGUCAGCUGAUUUGGAGUGCAUCCCAGCGGCCCCAGCGCAUACACCAUGAAUCGUCUUAUCCCCAUGUUGUACAACCCCUGAUUUGUGUUUCAAACACCACCACACCAUAUGUGCUAACAUUAUACCUCUAGUCUCUCCUUUUCAAUUUCACAGACAAUCAUGUAGCACAAAAUACUGUAAUAAAGUUUUGGAGAAUAAUUUUAAAAAACAA